GGAUGCAGUGAGAAGGCAUAUGACCGUCUUUCAACUAGUGAUGCUCGGCAAAUAUUGCUGUUCUCAUCAGACAAAGAACUACUUCAAUAUGUUGAGAAGGAGCAUCCUGAGUGGGAGAUGAAGAACGGGUUUAUCAUCUUCCAGAAAGUAAAAGAUUCCGUCCCUUGCAAGGAAAUACCGUCCCUUCAGCUCAUCACUCAAACACUCAGCUACGCAAGGGAGUUGGAGCGAAUCGUCUGAGAAGAUAUGCCUCUACUCAUCUCCUUUUGUGAUUUCAGCAUAUACUGAAUUUUCAGUAGUUGCACUUUUCUGUUGCUUUGAAUCGAAUUACUAUUCCUUUAUCUUCUUCUAUUACGAAUUAAUGAUGAUGAAAAGGAUGCGUUACCAGGACUAGUAUUUGUAUCUAAACUAUUUUAUUCUCAAC
rnacentral:misc_RNA from 1 species